rnacentral:lncRNA from 1 species
AUGCUAGGCAGGGGGUCUGUGGUCUAUGGUUUGUUUUUCCAUCAAUACAUAUGUCUGACUUUGAGUAAAAGAUUAACGAGACAGCUAGCAAAUGUCCUAGGAGACAAACGGAUAAAAUGCUGUUUGUACUUGUCAGAUCAGGGAGGGCUCAUUCUCAUCUCUCAUUCUGUGAAUGAAUCUGCAAGGAUGCACACCUGCACCAGGAAGAUUUCCUUGACAAGCUGCAAAAUACAACUGAGCAAGUUAAAUUCCACUUCCCUUGAACACGGAAGCGAGCAGUGCAUUUUGUCACAUGGUCACGCCAGCAUAUCGCAACAACAAGCAGAGUCACCUGGUGAAACAAUCCAUUUGGAGAUUUGGAAGGAACAUUUCCUUAGGGCAGGUGACACUGGACAGCUGGCAGCCCUCUAACUUUUGUUCUGAGAGUAACACCUACGUUGGAGGGCAUCCUGCCAGAAGCUGCACCCAGCUGGGAUGUAGCCAGCCCAGGUUGAAAGGGAACACCAAAUCCGGCAGGAUGAUUAUCUUUUACUGAUGUUCAGGACAGAGGUACCUGAGAACACACUAGCCCCCCUUAGGUAUUUAGUACUGUUUGGUAAAGUCAGGCAGCUAAGAAACUUAAUCAGGUCAGAGCCAGGCUUGCAUAUGUUUUCUCCACAGGGAUUAUGAACUACUUGCCAAAUAUUCAGAUUGGGUAAUUGCUACCUGGAUUACCAAGGGUACGCAGCCCCAAAAGAAAAUAAUUGCUUAGAGUUUCUGAUAGAUUGCAUCACUCCAUGCCAAAGUAUACGGCAGAAUGAGAAUCAUCAACACAUGAUGUAAGGAUAUACAAGCCUGCUUGUAGUUCAGAUGCUAGAGCUGAACCCACUGCGGCUGGCUGAAGCAGGAGAAAUAUUAACCCUUGCAUUCUGCUUAUAGGAAAGCAAUAAUUUGAUUCUGACUUCCAGAAGCAUUUGGGGAAUCUAGAGAUUCCCCUAAAUAACACUGCUUUUCUUAGAACACAAGGGAAAAACAUUCAUCCCUGCUCAAAAAAUGAAAAUUUGAUCGAAGCUAAUUUUACCCCAAUGUCUAGCUAUGAGAUCAUUGUUAUACCAGUAUACAAGUUUAGCCUCACAUAUUUUAUGACCAAAUGCAACUUGGAGCAGAGCCUAUACUGUCCGUCAGGGGUGCUGCUUGCAGGAUAGAAAAAUCCAUCAUCCGUUGUAUUUAACUUCAAAGCUCUGGUGAAACUCAAAUUCCUUCGAACAAAAACAAUUAGGUGCUACAAAGUUAUAUGGAAAGUAGGCAUUCAGCAUAUAUCUUGCAUGAUUGUAUGCAAGAGUAUGAUUCCUGAACCAUUUUAGAGGUCCUUUUCUUCUUUGCAACCACAUAAUAAUAUAAUCGGGGAAGAGAACAGAAAUUAUUCAAAUUUUCACUCUCUUCCAGUCAGCCAUGCAUACAGUGCUGACUCAGGAGCAAACAUUAAAAAGCAAAGAGCCAUGAGGGAACUUACAAAUCCAAUUGUACAUCUCCCAAGGGGAGUCAUUACAACAGUGUCAAACAGGCCGCAAGUAGGAGGAAUGAAUGAAUAGGUGGGGGGAUAUUUGGCAAGAUGGAAAAAACAAUGCUGGUAGAGAAGGCCCUGAUAGCAACAAGCCACAUCAACACCCUCAGCACUCAAACUGAACUGUGAUACAGAGGCCUUUAAGGAGGAAAAUAAUAGCAUAUAUCAAAACUUAAUAAGGAAGACAUGGUGUAGAAAUAAUAGAGAGCAUUAAAAUAUGGCCCACUUAUGUGUGCCAUUAGAAUACGUUCCUCCUUGUUUUGUUAGGUUUGUAGCUAAAAUCACUACUUUUAGACAUAACUGCAAACAGACUCAGAACAAAAUCUCUAAAAAAGUAGGGAGACAGCAAUAUUAUUAGGGCUCAUUCAAACUACUGUACCUGGACAUAGAUGAAAUAUUAAUUAAAGGUUACAUUCAAAGCCUUCAGAAAAAUGAUUAUUCAACACAACAAUGAUGUUUUGCCUAAUUGCUUAAUAAAGUUUUAUCUUACUAUGCA